rnacentral:lncRNA from 1 species
AUGCAACCCGCUAUAGAAGCUGCCAACUUGAGUUCAAUCUCUGGAAACCAUCUGGGUUAGAAAGAGAAAAGCAACUCCACAAAGCUGUUCUCUGGCAACCAUAUGACUUCCAUGUGUUCAUUCGCUUCCCCAUUCCCUCCCACAGUAAUAUUAAUAUUUUUUCUUAAAAGAGUACAAACCUGUAUAGAGAAUGUGUAAAUUCCUGACCCUAAAAAACAAAAAUGAAUCUAAUAGUAAAAUUUUAAUUCCUAAUGUCCAUAGACUAGCUUAGUCUGUUGUAAGCAAUUGAAAGUUUGCUGAACUUGGACAUGGGAUAGCUGCUCUCCCGUUCUUUAGCCAUUGGUGAGUUAUUGUAGCUUUCUCAGUUUCCUGGGAAUCUUUGUGGGGUGUCCCAGCAUAGGACAUUUGACCUUUAGGAGAGAGAUAUGAGUGGGGACAGAGAGUGGGGGUAAGUUAGACGACACUCAAAUGGGUUGUACUGUGACUUGAUCCCUGGGAUUUGGGGAGGGGGCACACUAUAGCCCAAGAUAAAUUUCUAAUUCAAACUCUCUCCUGGGGCUGGCCCUGGGAUGGGGAGUCCUUUUAUGAAAGUUGUGCUUGCUCAUUGAGAAUCCAAGUGGCCCCAGCAGGGUUGUCAGCUCUGUACAGCUGGAGAGGAGGUUGGCUUCUCCACCUAUUGAGACAUGUGUUUACCCUGGCCAGCCUCACUGGAGGGAGAGGAUGCAGACAGUCCCCUAGAGUGUAAAGGAACGGGGCCAUGUUUUGUUUUCUAAUACCAGGGCAGCUUUCUUAUAAGAAGGAUCAAAAAUGUCCCCACAUUUUUGAUCUGCUUAGUGUCUGCUUAGGAGUGUAAUCCUAGAGUUUUUUAUAAUCAACUCUUAGGGGUCUGCUUCUUGUGAACACUUGAGGCAUUUGUUCUGUUUCUUGUUUAUCUUUAAUAUAAUGUUAUAAGUAAAGACUAAACAUUGAUAAUAUAUCAAAUGGAAUUCUGUAAGCUUCAGUAAUUAAAAUUUUGUUAUUAUAGUCACUUUUUAAUCUAUAAAUUGUUUCUAAUCAUCCUUACUGUUUCACAAUAAUCAAAUUCUCAUAUAGAUUCUUUGUUCGUUCUUAGGGAAACUGAAGCUCAACUAUGAGUGACCUUAUCAUCAAAGCUAUCAACCUUGACCUUGUUAUGUCAGUGAUGGUCAUUAAAAAUCAUUAGCAUAAUAAUGAUUUGACUCUUUAAGUUGACUAUAUAUUAUGAAAAUAAGACAUACAGGAAAAUCCUAUUUAUUCCAGCUCAUUAAAAUAUCUAGUUUUAUUAUUCUCAUACACAGUUCCACAAACACAUACACACAAGAGUACAUGUACAUACACAUAUGUACACACACACACAUGCACAGAGUAUGCUCUAGCAAGCAUGUCUUUAUGUAAUUUAGCAAAUUGGUUAAGAAAAUAUAUAUGUAAAUACUGUAAUGGUAAUUGCUAAAAAUUACUUGAGCGUGUGUAAUAACAUACAAGCACCUGUAAAUGCCACUGGAAGUCAGACAAUAUUCAAAGCUCUAAAGCCCCUUAGUUUGUUCUUCCCUGACAAUUGUGUAUGAUUGGAGAUGGGAGUACGUGAAUUCUGAUCCAUGUGCCAAAUCUUGGGUUCAGUUCUUUGAAGGUGUGAAAUGGUUUCACUAAUCACUCUCAUUCCUAGAGGUGUCUUGAAAAUAAAUUCAUUUGAUCAUGAUUUGGUCAUUAUUAUCAAGAUCACUCUCUCCCCCUCCCUCCCCCCACCCCCACCAAAUAAGUGUAUUUUGGGCAAUCUUUUUCCUAUAGCUGGUAUAAUGGUACAGUUCAAAGUAAUAUCAGAUAAGAAGGUGGACAUGCUACCUUUUGCCCAUUACGUGCUCUUGUCAUUCAUUACUCACAACCAAAGUGCAACUGGCAUCCAACCCGGGAGAACAUGAUGUGCCCUAUAGACUGGAUUGUUACCAAUGUCUGCCAUUAUACGUUAGCUCUGUGCGCUGUUGGGCUUGGACAAACUUAGUAUAGGGUGUAAGAGAUUCUUGUAUAUUAUUGGGUUGGUUUCAUGUGGGGACAGAGAGGGUUCCCUGAUUUAUGCUUAUUUAAAAACAAAAGAUACUAAUCCAAAACUAUUGUCUAGAACCUCAGGACUUUGGUACCUGGUGGAUAUUCAAGAAAAGAUGUUGUGAAUCAAUGCAAAAUGACUACCGUGUCUUCAAUCCCUGGAGGCGUCUAUGCACCCGGUAACUGCCUGGUAAUUGAGGUAUUUAGGUAUAUAUCCGUAGGUAUUCUGGGAUGCUGCUGUACCUAAAUCCCUUCACCACCCUGGAAGAUGGUGGAAGUCAUGAUGUUUCUCUACUCAACUUGAUUCAUACCACUUGGUUCCUUCCAAUUCAUCCAUGAAAAUACCCCAGCCCUGGUGACAUUCUGUCAGCACUUCGUAUGUACCAGGCUCAGCCCAUAUGCCUCUACUCAGUAAGUCACUGUUGACUCAGAAUAGUCCUUAAGGCCACAGAAAACUAAACAAGGUUAAACGUGACAAGCCUGAAUAAUAAUUAAAGUAUAUAUUAAUUAAAUAGAAAAUAUUAAUAUCACAUUUUUGUUAUUUUUAAAAUGUUAAAAAUAAAAACAUUAAGAAUAAUAUUAAAAGUAUAUAUUAAUAAUCAAAACAUUCCCAUUUUUGAAUAUUUUAUUAAGGAUCUUAAUGAAGGCAAUGGGCCUUCACAGCUAACCAAAU